GUGUAGAGACACUAGGAUGAGAGUGCAAGUAGUUGUUAAAGAAUAACUUGCACUGAGCGUGAUCAACACGAGAAACUACUUGGAUGUCUACUCACUCAUCAGUGAUUUUCUCGAUGCUGUAGUGGUGUGACUAGUCCUUUGACCUAUGGUGUGUUAGCUAUUCGCAGUGAGGCUAUUUAGUUUGACUGCAUAUUUCUUUGGUCUCUAGCCAUUUGGGUCCUUGCUAUGUAUUUUGAUUAUUGUAGGUUUCAGUUCAUUGUUUGGAGUAGGAUGCAC
rnacentral:lncRNA from 1 species